ACGCUUCUUUUUCCACCGGAGCUUGCUCCCCCGUAAAAAGAGGAGUGGCGAACGGGUGAGUAACACGUGGGUAACCUGCCCAUCAGAAGGGGAUAACACUUGGAAACAGGUGCUAAUACCGUAUAACAAUCGAAACCGCAUGGUUUUGAUUUGAAAGGCGCUUUCGGGUGUCGCUGAUGGAUGGACCCGCGGUGCAUUAGCUAGUUGGUGAGGUAACGGCUCACCAAGGCCACGAUGCAUAGCCGACCUGAGAGGGUGAUCGGCCACAUUGGGACUGAGACACGGCCCAAACUCCUACGGGAGGCAGCAGUAGGGAAUCUUCGGCAAUGGACGAAAGUCUGACCGAGCAACGCCGCGUGAGUGAAGAAGGUUUUCGGAUCGUAAAACUCUGUUGUUAGAGAAGAACAAGGAUGAUAGUAACUGUUCAUCCCUUGACGGUAUCUAACCAGAAAGCCACGGCUAACUACGUGCCAGCAGCCGCGGUAAUACGUAGGUGGCAAGCGUUGUCCGGAUUUAUUGGGCGUAAAGCGAGCGCAGGCGGUUUCUUAAGUCUGAUGUGAAAGCCCCCGGCUCAACCGGGGAGGGUCAUUGGAAACUGGGAGACUUGAGUGCAGAAGAGGAGAGUGGAAUUCCAUGUGUAGCGGUGAAAUGCGUAGAUAUAUGGAGGAACACCAGUGGCGAAGGCGGCUCUCUGGUCUGUAACUGACGCUGAGGCUCGAAAGCGUGGGGAGCAAACAGGAUUAGAUACCCUGGUAGUCCACGCCGUAAACGAUGAGUGCUAAGUGUUGGAGGGUUUCCGCCCUUCAGUGCUGCAGCUAACGCAUUAAGCACUCCGCCUGGGGAGUACGACCGCAAGGUUGAAACUCAAAGGAAUUGACGGGGGCCCGCACAAGCGGUGGAGCAUGUGGUUUAAUUCGAAGCAACGCGAAGAACCUUACCAGGUCUUGACAUCCUUUGACCACUCUAGAGAUAGAGCUUUCCCUUCGGGGGCAAAGUGACAGGUGGUGCAUGGUUGUCGUCAGCUCGUGUCGUGAGAUGUUGGGUUAAGUCCCGCAACGAGCGCAACCCUUAUUGUUAGUUGCCAUCAUUUAGUUGGGCACUCUAGCAAGACUGCCGGUGACAAACCGGAGGAAGGUGGGGAUGACGUCAAAUCAUCAUGCCCCUUAUGACCUGGGCUACACACGUGCUACAAUGGGAAGUACAACGAGUCGCGAAGUCGCGAGGUUAAGCUAAUCUCUUAAAGCUUCUCUCAGUUCGGAUUGCAGGCUGCAACUCGCCUGCAUGAAGCCGGAAUCGCUAGUAAUCGCGGAUCAGCACGCCGCGGUGAAUACGUUCCCGGGCCUUGUACACACCGCCCGUCACACCACGAGAGUUUGUAACACCCGAAGUCGGUGAGGUAACCUUUUGGAGCCAGCCGCCUAAGUGA
rnacentral:rRNA from 1 species